AGAGUCAGUGGGAUCAGGUAAGGGAAGAGACAGAAGAGAAGUUCAAGAGCCAGAAGAAAUAAUACAAACAUGUAGCAGUGGCGUAAUGGGGAACAGGGAGGAGGAACCACUAGAAAGUCCCAGAGGCCAGAGAUGAGAGAAGUUCCCAGGAUCCAAUGGGGAUGGCAUUUGCUGAAAUACCAGAGGAGAAACCUGAAGAAUCCACCUCCAUUUGGCCUCCAGUUGAGGUUCUUGCCUUGAGUUCCUGCCCUGACUUUGCUCAUUGAUAGAGUGUAACCUGAGAGCUGUAAGCUAAAAUAAACCCCUUAUUCCUU
rnacentral:lncRNA from 1 species